rnacentral:rRNA from 1 species
GACGAACGCUGGCGGCGUGCCUAACACAUGCAAGUCGAACGAAUGAAGUUCCUUCGGGAAUGGAUUUAGCGGCGGACGGGUGAGUAACACGUGGGCAACCUGCCUCAUAGAGGGGAAUAGCCUCCCGAAAGGGAGAUUAAUACCGCAUAAGAUUGUAGUACCGCAUGAUACAGCAAUUAAAGGAGCAAUCCGCUAUGAGAUGGGCCCGCGGCGCAUUAGCUAGUUGGUGAGGUAAUGGCUCACCAAGGCGACGAUGCGUAGCCGACCUGAGAGGGUGAUCGGCCACAUUGGGACUGAGACACGGCCCAGACUCCUACGGGAGGCAGCAGUGGGGAAUAUUGCACAAUGGGGGAAACCCUGAUGCAGCAACGCCGCGUGAGUGAUGACGGCCUUCGGGUUGUAAAGCUCUGUCUUCAGGGACGAUAAUGACGGUACCUGAGGAGGAAGCCACGGCUAACUACGUG